AGGAGGGGUUUGGAUGGCUGUUACUACACACUGGAUCUGGAAUUGUUCAGUGUUGUGAGUGGCAGAUUUCUUAAACACCAGCAGCACUGAGAAGUGCACUACGGGCAUUUGUAAAGUUAGUUGUCCAAAUGCAAGCAGUACUUUCAUCCAAAAGAAGCUGAGGUGUGUUGGGUUCAAUAGGAGUACUUUGAGUAUCUCAAGGAGGACAAAUGAUUAACUCUGUUGUAUCUGAAGUGGGGUAGCCCUUUCUCCACCCCCCUUGUGUUUUUGUUUUCUAAAGAUAAAAUAUACCCUUUUGCUUUCUUUGAAAAGGCCAGGAUGUUUGAUUAUAUUGACCAGAGAUUAAAUCGUAUCUAGUUUUCAACUAUAUAAGUGCCAAGUAAUUGUCCAUGGACUUUUUAACCAUUUGAUUAGGGAAGAGAUUAUUUAUUUUUGUUUCCUGGCAUUAAGAUGAUUAAUUUAUUGUUUUGCGUACACUUGAGUCAUUCUGUGGCCUAUAUAGUGUUUUUGUAACUAACUAUACAAAAAGCAAAGCACAUGACCCUAAGACUAAGCAAGAUGUUUCAGUAGUUCUCUCCGUGAAUACUUGAUCAUUUCUAUUAAUACUGUUCUAAGCAGAUUCUACUGUUUUAGGUUGUGUAUUUAUUUUUCCCCCUAAGAAAAAGCCAAGCACUAAAUCAACUUGUGUUCUGAUAAUCACUUACAAUCUUAAGCUUUCCUUUCUUCUUUUCUUAGGUGAUUUAAUGAAGUGCCAUGUAAUUGUAGCUUACUAAUUAAUGUUUGAUAGACUGGUUCUGUGAUAUUCUAAACAUUUAACUCUUUCUUGUCAUCUCUGGAGAAGAUGGUUCUAUUCUCAUUCUCUCUGAUAAAAUCACCAGCUGCUUUAUUUUUCUAUUUAUUACACAGUUGAUAAGGUCUGGAUCUUGACCGAACUGCUCAGCUGAGAUGUUUUCAUAGUGGACACUAUAGAAAAUGUGUGUGCAAAACGACACAGUUGGGUGGUGGUAUUCUUUUUCAUUAAUGUGAACAUUGACUAAACAAAGCAGUCCUGCCUUUUAAAUCUUGUGGCAGCUCAGAAGGGAGGUGCUUAAGAACCUUAACUAUUAUGUCAGAUGACAAAUACUUUUUUUCCAUUUUGGAGAUUGGGUACUGCUCACACAUGAUGUAUAGGGCUAAAUAUAUGCUUGUUUCCUUGCACCUGUGUACUCUUCCCCUUCUCUCCCACUUUUCCUUUCCCUGUAGGCAAUAAAUGGCCAUUUUGCAACC
rnacentral:lncRNA from 1 species